rnacentral:misc_RNA from 1 species
CUAAAAAAAAAAGAAAAAAAAAUAACCUUUCAGCCCACGCCAAGCUUCUUCGGCUUCGCUACUUCCCCUGACCAUCAAACCACGAAAAAUCUGAGUUCUGCCGAAAACCCAUUUGGAAAAAGAGGGAAACCGACCCUCCCCAUUCUUAUAUAUAUCCAAACAAAUCGGAAACUUCAGAAAUUAAUCAGGGAAAAAAAAAAGAGAAAAACUUGCCGAGAAACUGCUGCGUAUUACUUGGAUCAA